rnacentral:rRNA from 1 species
GACGAACGCUGGCGGCGUGCUUAACACAUGCAAGUCGAACGGAAAGGCCCUGCUUUUGUGGGGUGCUCGAGUGGCGAACGGGUGAGUAACACGUGAGUAACCUGCCCUUGACUUUGGGAUAACUUCAGGAAACUGGGGCUAAUACCGGAUAGGAGCUCCUGCUGCAUGGUGGGGGUUGGAAAGUUUCGGCGGUUGGGUAUGGACUCGCGGCUUAUCAGCUUGUUGGUGGGGUAGUGGCUUACCAAGGCUUUGACGGGUAGCCGGCCUGAGAGGGUGACCGGCCACAUUGGGACUGAGAUACGGCCCAGACUCCUACGGGAGGCAGCAGUGGGGAAUAUUGCACGAUGGGCGGAAGCCUGAUGCAGCAACGCCGCGUGCGGGAUGACGGCCUUCGGGUUGUAAACCGCUUUCGCCUGUGACGACGCGUGAGUGACGGUAAUGGGUAAAGAAGCACCGGCUAACUACGUG